CAGGAAUCAAGAAAUCAAUGCAUGUAUUUAUUGAAAUCUGCUGGACAAAAUACAUAGUUUUGGGAUGGUGCUAAUUGACCAAAGCUUUGCUUACAGGAGGAAACCUUGAACGUAGGGUCCAGCAGACAACGUGCCUCAAACAGGGGAGAGAGGCAGAGUUCUUGUCACCAUGGAGACAACAGAAAGAAGCGAGCUUCUGUCACUGUCCUUAAGGAUUUCAGAUAAAAGAGAAAGGAAUCAAAAUGCAAAUCCUCGCUCACAGCCGUCCGUAGGAAGUUCAUCACCUCAGGGCAGCUAGGACUACGCAGGAUCUGAAGCAGUCCAGUGGUCCUAGCACUGCAUCGGAGCAAGGUAAAAUCAAAGGCCUGCAGCACGGUUCUGCCUCACCUCGCCUUCAUGAAGUGCAUUUCCUGUGUGCUUAGCCUGGGCCUGCUCAGCGUUCAGUCAGUUCCAUCUUCCUGGAAGCACUGAGUGCUUACUCUCUCCCAGGCCCUGCGCCAGGAGCUCGUUUCCCGAGUCUCACAACGAAAUGGACAUCUCUUAAGAAAGCAUUGGGCCUUAGCUUAGUCUACUUGGCUACUAUAACAAAACACCCUGAACUGGUGGCUUACAAACAUCAGAAACUCC
rnacentral:lncRNA from 1 species